GGGCCGGGGCUGGGACGGAGCUGCGGGGCGCGGGGAGGGGGGGAAACCAGGUCUGACGGGGGAGGCCGGUCAGACCGUGAUGAGAAUGGAGACCGUCGGGGCACUGUUUGAAGGGAGGUUUUAAUAUUAAUAGUUUCGGUGUAGAGACAGAAGGGAGAUUGCGUCUACGGCUCCUCGGGGCAGACUCUGGGUGACAGCGAUGAUGGAUGAUCCAGCAGAGCCCAACAGCUCCUCCCCUCCAGCCCCAACAGUGUCAAAGCUACUUUAGUUGAAGCUUUGGAAAUAAAAUAAAUAAACAGCAUCGCUCCCCCACCCCUUACUCUUUGCACACCUCCACUCCCACCCCCACCCCCGCUUUCCCACAUCGAUUUAUAGAUCAUUAUGAAUCAAUUACUGCUCUCAAUACUUUCCCAUUGGCUUAAAUAAAACAGUCAAAAGAUGAAAACAUGGGGUUCGGUAGGCUUCCCCCCAGCACCACCCCCGACAGGAACAACCGCAAAAUCCAUUAUCUCAUCAACAGAGGCUCCGAGUUAGGAGAUGUUGAGAAAGGAAGGAAGGGGUCGCCCGGUGAAAAACGGGGGGGGGGGGCAUCUCGGGGGGGGGGGCACCCAGCUGCUGCCUUUGUUCAGAUGGGUUUGGUUGGUUGGUUUGGGGUUUUUUUGAACGGGGAACCCGAGUGAGAAUGAGAUGCCUACAGGUUUCGUAACCUAAUGAUUUAACUCCUUUGGAGGAACCUAUUUGAAUGUGUGUCUCGGCAAACAUCAGAUGUUGUUGGUGGUGAGGUCGCACAUGGGAAAAGGUGUGGAGGAAUGGGUCCGUCUGGAGGGCGGAUUUUCACUUUGUUGUGAGCAACUGUGGGAGGGUUCGCUGCUGUGAAGGAGGAUUCUCCCAGCCGCAACGCCCUCCUCGCUCCCCGCGGUUGGCUGUUUUUGUCGUUGGGACUGGUUUGGAGCUGGGACUGGCCGCCCCCGGUCGCCCCCGCCCCCACCUCGGCCGCCCGAGGCUUUUCUUCCCUCUCUUGCCCCUUCACGGCGGUGCUCGAGGUUCUCUAGGUGUUUCUAUGACUACAUUGUGUGUGUGGGAGGGUCAGAUGUGGGGGGCUGCCCGCGAGAGGGCCGUUCCUGGGCGAUCAUUUAUCAAUGUCACCCACAUAAUGAUUCUCUCUGCAGCCUCCUAUUGAUGAGGAUAAUUACAUUAGCUCAGAGUGACUGAUCAAUGAAAAACCACCACACAAAAACUUCUUUACUCCUCUAUAAUACCAAAAACCGAUACAGAAAUAACAUAGAAAGCCUGAUUUUUCUUUCCCUUUCCUAUCCACCAAUGGAUUCUGCCCCCCUCCCCCCCAAAAGGACUGGGAGUAAAGUAAGAAAAUAGACCCAGGUUUGUUUCGUUUAAAGGAGGAUGCAAUUUUGCCCGUGAAUGCAUUUUCUCAAAAUGCGUUGGCUUGAUUCCUCCUUUGCUAAAGAAUAUCAACGGAUUUACUAAUAGAACCUAGACCAGGAAUAUCCAGUGUGUCAGAUCAAAUCCCAGCAACAAAGCUGCGCGAAACUGCAAAACCGGUCCUCGGAGCUCUGAGCGGCUGGGCUGUCUCGUUCACAUAUAACAUCAGAGCGCCCCCUGCUGGCGAGCGGAGUAGACGGCGCCGUCGUGGCGCGCACAGGCGUCUUCUGGGUUUGCCAGUUACUCGGCGCGGACUCCGGACCCCUGGAAGGCGAGGGCGCACAGAACCGCCCUGUGUCACAUCUUCUCCAACCCCUCCUCUUUGGGGGAUGCUCCGAACCGGGUCGGGGACUAGAGGACGUCAGGGAAGGAGCGCUCCUAGCGCGAGGCAGAGGCGGCCCCGGUCUUCGCGCCCGGGAAGGGCUGCCUCCAGUCGGGGUGUGAUUUGAAGACUUACUGGGGCUAGUGUGACAACCGAGAAUAAAGAAAAGAAAGCAGGUGUCCCCAGUGCAGUUGAAUCCGAGCAGAGACAUUUCCAGUAAGAAAUUCUCACAGAUGAAGAAAAUGGGAACAUCUCAUUGUAUUUGUCUCAGUUUGACUUAAUGAAAUUUGGAGACACUGACAGUCUGGUCAAUGUUCUACGUAAAUUAAUGCAAAGGUCCUUAGGAAGAGACUGAAGACACCUCUGGCCAUUAAUCUUAAACCACUUGAAGAUUAUGAUUAAAUGAAUGGGAUCACUAAGCAUUAUCAUUUCAAAAAGCCGUUAACUGUCUCCACCCCUGUAUUGUGGCAACAAAAUAAACU